UAGGACCUUUUUCAAGGCUUUGAAAGCACU
rnacentral:piRNA from 1 species